rnacentral:rRNA from 1 species
UACGUAGGGGGCAAGCGUUGUCCGGAAUCAUUGGGCGUAAAGCGCGUGUAGGCGGUCCGAUAAGUUCGCUGUGAAAGUCGGGGGCUUAACCCUCGGAUGCCGGUGAAUACUGUCGGGCUUGAGUACGGAAGAGGCGAGUGGAAUUCCUGGUGUAGCGGUGAAAUGCGCAGAUAUCAGGAGGAACACCAAUUGCGAAGGCAGCUCGCUGGGACGUUACUGACGCUGAGACGCGAAAGCGUGGGGGAGCAAACAGG